rnacentral:lncRNA from 12 species
AUGUGGAUUUGGCUUCUUUGUGAGAGAGAGAGAGAGAGAGAGAGAGAGAGAGAGAGAGAGGAAUAUAUACUUAUAGCCUUUGUGUCAGAAACUCUGGAUUUGGGAGGAGUAUGGCCUGAGGGCUAUAUAGCAGAGGCCCACGUAGCUGAGCUGAGAGGGCUGAGCAACCGACCAGGGCAUGUGAACAUUGCCUGCAGGUGUGACACCAGUCAUCAAUGGAAACAAGCAACCAGGAAGUUCAAAGGAUGAAAUCAGUACAGAAAGAGGAAGGCGAUUUCUUUGCAUCACGCAGAAGUGACUACCGUCGUAAUCGUACCACUGCCUCCCUGUCUUGAAGCUGGUCCUGUGGCUUGAGGGCAACUGAAGGCCAGAUUCAGUAUGUUCUUAGUGACAACCAUUUAGUUAAUGGUGUUUACAUGCCAGGCCCAAGCUUUGAUAUCUGGGCCAGUACAUUUUUUAUUUGCAAAGGACAAAACAUUAUUUUGAGCUAACUUAGGGUAGAAAUGGCUUCUACCACUGAAGAAUGGAAGACAGUUUAAGGAAGGGUUGAAGAAGAAGGUGGGGUUUAGAGACAGCUGGUGCUGGGCCGGGCAUGCCCCAGGAAGCCACUCUGUCUGGGAUCCAUGGUUCCACCAGGGUGUCAAGUUCAUUUCCCGUCCUCUCCAGCCCCUUUCCCCACUUCCAUAGCUGGUGCUCAUUUUUCAAAGCUGACCUCACAUUAGACACCUUGGCACAUUGGUGCCUGUAGCCCACAGAUGUCUGCCCUUCCUCUGAAUUGACAUAGAACAUAUUCUCUGUCUGCCUCCUUUAAAAGCAAUUGUUUGUACAAUCCACCCCUCCCCCCCAAAGCUUCUCACAGCCUUGAGGGAGAACAGGCUUCAUACAGUUCUUUGGACAGGGGAAGGGAAGGUGACGUAGCAUCGGUGGCUUGUGGUUCGUAACACCUCCACAUGGCAUUUUGCGUUUCCCUGCCACCAUGACUUUAGGGUGCUGUAUGUUGGUUCCAUUUCUGGAUCUCUCCAGCUCUCCUUUUGUGGUGUUUUGAAUUAAAAUUUGGAAUAACUCUAUAGAUUUACAUGCAAUUAUAAGAAAUUAUACAGAGAGCCCAGAUAUUCUUUACUCAGGUCCCCCAAAGGUAACAUCUUGCAAAGCUAGAGUAUAAUGUCACAACCAGGAUAUUGAGAGUGACACAGAACAUUUCUAUCAGUGCUAUCUUCAUGUUGCUCUUUGGAGCCACGUUGCUCUUUUAUAGUGACUUCUCUUUCACUCCCUUGCCUCCUUCACCACUGGCAACCACUAACCUGUCUCCCAUUUCUAUAUACAGAUGGAAUCACACAAUAUGUAACCUUUCAGUUUCCUUGUCCCGUGUAUUAUUCCACUUAUCAAGAGCUUAUUACUUUUGCUUACAGAGUAACCUUCCAUGGUGUGGCUCAGCCGUUUAACCUUCACCCACUGAAGGGCAUCUGGGCUGUUUCAAGUUUCUUGGCUAUAAUGAAAAACACUGCUAUAGACAUCUGUGUAUAGGUUUUUGUGUGACAUGUCUUUAUUUCUCUGGGAUAAACGUUAAGAGGUGCAACUGCUGGGUUGUCUGGUAGUAGCAUUAAAAAAAUUGAGAUAGAUUUAGAAAAAUAGACUUUUUGUGUGUCAACUAUACUUCAAUAAAAGAAGAAAACCAAACCA